rnacentral:lncRNA from 1 species
GGUGACAGUGACGCGCUAACACUAUAUUUUCCGACUGGUUCGCUUGUUUGGUUGUGGGACCCACCUCACCGCCCUGGCCUUUCAACCAAACUUCUCGCACGCUAUGAUGGCCCCUACCG